rnacentral:rRNA from 1 species
AUUGAACGCUGGCGGCAUGCCUUACACAUGCAAGUCGAACGGCAGCACGGGAGCUUGCUCCUGGUGGCGAGUGGCGAACGGGUGAGUAAUGCAUCGGAACGUGCCCUGAAGUGGGGGAUAACGUAGCGAAAGUUACGCUAAUACCGCAUAUUCUGUGAGCAGGAAAGCAGGGGGAUCUUCGGACCUUGCGCUUUUGGAGCGGCCGAUGUCGGAUUAGCUAGUUGGUGGGGUAAAGGGCCCACCAAGGCGACGAUCCGUAGCGGGUCUGAGAGGAUGAUCCGCCACACUGGAACUGAGACACGGUCCAGACUCCUACGGGAGGCAGCAGUGGGGAAUUUUGGACAAUGGGCGCAAGCCUGAUCCAGCCAUGCCGCGUGAGUGAAGAAGGCCUCGGUUGUAAG